UACGUAGGGUGCAAGCGUUAUCCGGAAUUAUUGGGCGUAAAGCGCGCGCAGGCGGUCCUUUAAGUCUGAUGUGAAAGCCCACGGCUCAACCGUGGAGGGUCAUUGGAAACUGGGGGACUUGAGUGCAGAAGAGGAAAGCGGAAUUCCACGUGUAGCGGUGAAAUGCGUAGAGAUGUGGAGGAACACCAGUGGCGAAGGCGGCUUUCUGGUCGUGUAACUGACGCUGAGGCGCGAAAGCGUGGGGAGCAAACAGG
rnacentral:rRNA from 1 species